CAUUGACGGUGACGUUCAAUUGAUUAACGGAACACAUCUUAAUUACACUGUGAUUCCUUGUCACUUGAUUCCAACAAAGUAACGAACUUCUAUCGUAAGGAUUUACGCAAUAUUUUGUAUUCCAGUAAUUAUUACAGCUACCCCAAGGACAUCACAGCAGCGGCGUAACCGAUACCUUUAAAAAGUGGAGCAAUUUUAAAAACACCCAAACCGCCGACUGUUAACAUUUGACCAAGAGCUAAUUCCAUGAAGAACAUUGGUAUACCAGCUAAUACCAAUGUUAAGAAAUACGGGAUCAAGAAAGCACCACCUCCGUUUUUAUAACAGAGGGAAGGGGGUAAUGGUUCUUCAAGGGGAGGAACUUAACGAUGGAAAUGAGAACGCGGGAAUCGACCUUGCUUUCGAACCAAUCCACCACCAUGCGUUGCUUGUAGUUGACUGAUGCUUCAUGUUCAUGGUAGGGAGUGGAAUCCGGAUGGAUUUAGGGCAGGAGGUUUAGGGAUACGCUCGGAGUGAGUAGUUCCAUGAGUCUAUCCGGAUCUACGUCUGCCUAUAAGCUACCAGGAAAAUGACGCUUCAUACGUGGACUUGGUAUCGUCCCAUUAAUAUCAAUAUUAUGUAUUAGUCACACGCAUCAAAAAAAGAUCUUAAUAAGAAUUUUUUUUUUAAUUUAAUAAUUAGUAUGAAAUAUAUGCAAUAUGUUUCUAUAGAUUUAUCUCAAGACUAUUGUUUUUUA